AGAGUUUGAUUCUGGCUCAGAACGAACGCUGGCGGCGUGCCUAACACAUGCAAGUCAUACGAAAUCUUAAGAUCUAAUAGAGCGGUUGUGCGACUUCCGAGUUAAUCUGCCCUUUGUGUUCGGAACAACUUCUGGAAACGGAAUCUAAAUCUGCAUGAUAACGUGGGACCACCCAUCUAUCGGCGGGCGAUGACCCCGCAUAUCAUUCGCUGUUUGGAUAGGCUCUUCCUCGCUAUCGCUACCAUACGAACCUGGUCCGAAAUGAUUAUCUACCGAGGUGAUGCUGUAACACGGCCACGACUCCUACCGGAGGUAACAGGAUGAAAUAUCGCACUGUGACUGAAACCCUGAUCCAACUCCGCCGCGUGAGUGCUGAGGGCAUUUUUGCUGUAUGGGUCUUUUACCCAGGAUGAUACUGACGCGUAGCAUGAAGAAUAGACUCCGGCUGACUCCGUGCCUUCUGCCGGCGAGUAAUACGGAGGGAGCUAGCGUUGUUCUGAAUUGCUGGUCCUCCAGCGCACGUAUGCGGCUAUUCAAGUCACAGGUGACAGCCCGGUGCUCAACCCCCGAACUGCCUUUGAAACUAGAUAGCUUGAAUCCAGCAGAGGUGAGUGGAAUUCCGAGUGUAGAGGUGAAAUUCCUAGAUAUUCGGAAGAACACCAGUGGGGAAGGUGGCUCACUCGAAUGGUAUAGACGCUGAAGUGAGUAAGCCUGGGGAGCAAACAUGAUUAGAUACUCUGGUAGUUCACGCCGUAAACGAUGAUAUCUAGGUGUUAGAGCACAUGGUGGUUUUGGUGGUGCAGAUUAAGCAUUAAGUUAUCCGCGUGGGGAGUACGGUCGCAAGAUUAAAACUCAAAGAGAAUUGACGGGGGCAAUGCACAAGAGGUUGAGCAUAUUUUUUAAUUAGAAGCAAGGCGCAGAACGUUACUAGACAUUUGUCAUCCCUAUCGCGGAUCGAGGUGACUCUUUCUUUCAGUUGAGACAGGAUACAGGACAGGCAUGGCAGUGGUCUGCUCAGCUCGUGUGAUGAGAUGUAGGUCUACAGUAACGAGAGGAGCCCUUGUCUUUCUUUUAGAGCCCAGCAUCAGGUUGGGUUAUAUAAGGGAACCGCCGAUAAUAAGCAGGAAGAAGGUGGGGAUGUCAUAUAAGUCAUGACGGCCAUUACGCGGGGGGCUACACUCGUACUACAGUGUGGACUACAGUGGGCAACCGCGUGAUGAGGAGUAGAUAAUAUAAAACAGUCGUCUCUUUUGGGAUGAGUCUGUAAAUCUCGUGCGCGAGAUGGGAGUAUCUAGUGAUAUCGGAUAUGCACAUCGCGGGGAGUAUGUUUUCGCAGGCUUUGCACACACCGCGUGUCACCACGUGAGAGGGGGAUUCACUAGAAGGCGAUGACAUACCUUUGAGGAGGCAGGUGCCCACGGUAUGGUCAGCGACUGGGGUGAAGUCGUAACAAGGUAACCG
rnacentral:rRNA from 1 species